AGAGGCUUAGGAUAGACAGACCAGUGGCCUUCAAAGCCUCAAGCGGGAGUUAGACUCUCCCAGCCUCUG
rnacentral:tRNA from 1 species